AUUUAAGUAAUUUAAUUAAAAUUUUGAUUUGUGAAGUCAAAUUUAUAAGAUAAUCUUAUCUUAAAUU
rnacentral:tRNA from 1 species